AUGACGGAAAGGGCUCGAGGUGGCCGCCGAAGACCAAGCCGUUCACGCAAGCCCUGGACACGAUCCUCCCGACGCAUGCACUCCUCGCGUCCUCGCGCACCAAGGUUAGGCGGCAGAUCUCCACGUCUGCGACGCGCUCGUGGUCGUCAAGGAAGGGGCUCCCGAUCGAAUCUGCGUUCACGCGGCUUGUGUGCCAUGGCCGCCAUGGCAAUCCAUGGCCGACAAGAGGGGACCCUCGGUCUCCAUCACCCACCCCAGGCCGGUUUCUACAGUAAGGGCUAUGGGGCUGGGCAGGUUAGGCGGAUGGACAGUGUGGGAGCUCCACGACCUGAAGGAGUGGGUGGUGUGAGAGCUGUGGGAGGCCGCCAAGGCCCUCACCGUGCGCCGCGCCGCCGUCAGGACGUACGCUUUGUGGUGGCGCUGGACAGGGACGUCCGCCACCCUUCCUCAAGCCCACCAUGGGGGUUCUUCUCGGCUGCCUCGGAGGCUCGGGCACAACACUACUUUCAUGGACUUUCCCCUCCUGCUCUUUGA
rnacentral:rRNA from 1 species